AAAACCGUGGGCGGGCGUUGCACUGCGCGUGCUAUCAUGCAAGUCGUACGAACUUCCGUUAAUUGAUUAUGACGUGCUUGCACUGAAUGAGAUUUUAACACGAAGUGAGUGGCGGACGGGUGAGUAACACGUGGGUAACCUGCCCAGAAGCAGGGGAUAACACCUGGAAACAGAUGCUAAUACCGUUAUAACAGAAAAAAACCGCCUGGUUUUUCUUUUAAAAGAUGGCUCUGCUAUCACUUCUGGAUGGACCCGCGGCGCAUUAGCUAGUUGGUGAGGUAACGGCUCACCAAGGCGAUGAUGCGUAGCCGACCUGAGAGGGUAAUCGGCCACAUUGGGACUGAGACACGGCCCAGACUCCUACGGGAGGCAGCAGUAGGGAAUCUUCCACAAUGGACGCAAGUCUGAUGGAGCAACGCCGCGUGAGUGAAGAAGGGUUUCGGCUCGUAAAGCUCUGUUGUUAAAGAAGAACGUGGGUGAGAGUAACUGUUCACCCAGUGACGGUAUUUAACCAGAAAGCCACGGCUAACUACGUGCCAGCAGCCGCGGUAAUACGUAGGUGGCAAGCGUUAUCCGGAUUUAUUGGGCGUAAAGCGAGCGCAGGCGGUCUUUUAAGUCUAAUGUGAAAGCCUUCGGCUCAACCGAAGAAGUGCAUUGGAAACUGGGAGACUUGAGUGCAGAAGAGGACAGUGGAACUCCUUGUGUAGCGGUGAAAUGCGUAAAUAUAUGGAAGAACACCGGUGGCGGGGGCGGCUGUCUGGUCUGUUGUUGGGGUUGGGGUUUGGG
rnacentral:rRNA from 1 species